GGUUAAUUAUAUGAACGGGGUGACGAGUGGACAAUGGAUAACUAAUCUAUGGAAGAUUAAGGAAACGAAUAUUUUUUCGCUUUCAAGAACCAUAGGAUUAGUCUGUACAUUUUGCCGCUCGCACAAUAAUAGUGCGAUUUUUAAACAUGGCUAAUCCUUCUAAACUACUUGUUUAGAAGGAUUUUUUC
rnacentral:sRNA from 1 species